rnacentral:rRNA from 1 species
GAUGAACGCUGGCGGCGUGCCUAAUACAUGCAAGUCGAGCGAACCGGGGACGGGUGAGUAACAAGUGUAUAACCUCCUAUAAGACUGGGAUAACUUAGGGAAACCGGAUCUAAACCGGACACUUAUAGAUAGUUCCGCGCUGCAUUAGCUAGUUGGUAAGGUAACGGCUUACCAAGGCUACGAUGCAUAGACGACCUGAGAGGGUGAUCGGCCACACUGGAACUGAGACACGGUCCAGACUCCUACGGGAGGCAGCAGUAGGGAAUAUUCCGCAAGGGGCGAAAGCCUGACGGAGCAACGCCGCGUGAGUGAUGAAGGUCUUCGGAUCGUAAAACUCUGUUAUUAGGGAAGCGGUACCAAAUCAGAAAGCCACGGCUAACUUCGUGCCAGCAGCCGCGGUAAUAC